rnacentral:rRNA from 1 species
UACGGGGGGAGCAAGCGUUGUUCGGAUUUACUGGGCGUAAAGGGCGCGUAGGCGGUCAGCACAAGUCAGUUGUGAAAUCUCCGGGCUUAACUCGGAAAGGUCAACUGAUACUGUGCGACUAGAGUGCGGAAGGGGCAACUGGAAUUCUUGGUGUAGCGGUGAAAUGCGUAGAUAUCGAAGAGGAACACCUGCGGCGAAGGCGGGUUGCUGGGCCGACACUGACGCUGAGGCGCGAAGCUAGGGGAGCGAACGGG